rnacentral:rRNA from 1 species
AUUGAACGCUGGCGGCAGGCCUAACACAUGCAAGUCGAACGGCAGCGGGGGGAAGCUUGCUUCCCCGCCGGCGAGUGGCGGACGGGUGAGUAAUGCCUGGGGAGCUGCCCAAUCGAGGGGGAUACCAGUUGGAAACGACUGCUAAUACCGCAUACGCCCUGAGGGGGAAAGGUGGGGAUCUUCGGACCUAUCGCGAUUGGAUGCACCCAGGUGGGAUUAGCUAGUUGGUGAGGUAACGGCUCACCAAGGCGACGAUCUCUAGCUGGUCUGAGAGGAUGACCAGCCACACUGGAACUGAGACACGGUCCAGACUCCUACGGGAGGCAGCAGUGGGGAAUAUUGCACAAUGGGGGAAACCCUGAUGCAGCCAUGCCGCGUGUGUGAAGAAGGCCUUCGGGUUGUAAAGCACUUUCAGUGGGGAGGAAAGGGUGGAAGCUAAUACCUUUCAUCUGUGACGUUACCCACAGAAGAAGCACCGGCUAACUCCGUGCCAGCCGCCGCCGUAAAAC